rnacentral:tRNA from 1 species
AUACCCAAGUUCGGCUGAAGGGAUCGGUCUUGAAAACCGACAGGCGGCGAGAGUCGCGCGGGGGUUCGAAUCCCUCU